UACGAAGGGGGCUAGCGUUGCUCGGAAUUACUGGGCGUAAAGCGCACGUAGGCGGAUUCCUAAGUCGGGGGUGAAAUCCUGGAGCUCAACUCCAGAACUGCCUUCGAUACUGGGAAUCUUGAGUCCGGAAGAGGUGAGUGGAACUGCGAGUGUAGAGGUGAAAUUCGUAGAUAUUCGCAAGAACACCAGUGGCGAAGGCGGCUCACUGGUCCGGUACUGACGCUGAGGUGCGAAAGCGUGGGGAGCAAACAGG
rnacentral:rRNA from 1 species